rnacentral:rRNA from 1 species
GACGAACGCUGGCGGCGUGCUUAACACAUGCAAGUCGAACGGAACUCAUUGGAUCAAGACUUCGGUCAAGUGAAUUUGAGUUUAGUGGCGGACGGGUGAGUAACGCGUGAGGAACCUGCCUUUCAGAGGGGGACAACAGUUGGAAACGACUGCUAAUACCGCAUAACGCGUAGAGGUCGCAUGGCCUUUACGCCAAAGAUUUAUCGCUGAAAGAUGGCCUCGCGUCUGAUUAGCUAGUUGGUGAGGUAACGGCCCACCAAGGCGACGAUCAGUAGCCGGACUGAGAGGUUGACCGGCCACAUUGGGACUGAGAUACGGCCCAGACUCCUACGGGAGGCAGCAGUGGGGAAUAUUGGGGCAAUGGGCGCAAGCCUGACCCAGCAACGCCGCGUGAAGGAAGAAGGCCUUCGGGUUGGUAAACGUUACUUUUACCUAGGACGAAGAACGUGACGGUACCUGGAGAAAAAG